rnacentral:rRNA from 1 species
AUUGAACGCUGGCGGCAUGCCUUACACAUGCAAGUCGAACGGCGGCGGACCUUCGGGUGCCGGCGAGUGGCGAACGGGUGAGUAAAGUAUCGGAACGUACCUUUCAGUGGGGGAUAACGUAGCGAAAGUUACGCUAAUACCGCAUAUUCUGUGAGCAGGAAAGCAGGGGAUCGCAAGACCUUGCGCUGAUUGAGCGGCCGAUAUCAGAUUAGCUAGUUGGUGAGGUAAAGGCUCACCAAGGCGACGAUCUGUAGCGGGUCUGAGAGGAUGAUCCGCCACACUGGAACUGAGACACGGUCCAGACUCCUACGGGAGGCAGCAGUGGGGAAUUUUGGACAAUGGGGGCAACCCUGAUCCAGCCAUGCCGCGUGAGUGAAGAAGGCCUUCGGGUUGUAAAGCUCUUUCGGCCGGGAAGAAAUCGCGCCAGUUAAUACCUGGUGUGGAUGACGGUACCGGAAUAAGAAGCACCGGCUAACUACGUGCCAGCCGCCGCAGUAACAC